rnacentral:rRNA from 1 species
AUGGCGCACCACAUCGCGUGGCAGAUGCUGGGAUCCGACACAGAUCGACCUCGCCGGGGGCCGCCUCUUGGGGAACAGCCGCGGCCAUCGUUCUCAGCUCCGACCGCGACCGCGGGGCUUCCUCCGCGAGUUGGAGUAUCAUCCUGGUUCACGAACCCUCCGGUUGUGUUUCUUGAAACAACUUGUACCAGAUCAAAUCAGAGCAGCUGGGGAGCUGGUGUUGAAGGGGAAGAGAGCUAUGUCCAAGAGAACUUUUCUGUCGAUAAUCAUGAAGAUUCAGAGGGAUUGUUGCGUGCUAAUGAUGUGAUGCAAGAUGAUUCAGAUGAUGGAGAUGUUUCAUCACAGCCAUUAUUGCCCUAUGUUGGCAUGGUGUUUCACACAUUUGAGGAUGCCCAGAAAUUCUACAAUGACUAUGCCUUCAAGUUGGGAUUCGGCACACAUAUAUCUUCUACAAAGUACAGCCAAAAGAGAGGACAGAAGCAAGAGGAUGCAAUAAUGAUCAAGAGGGUCUUUGGGUGUGUGCAUGCUAGAAAGCCCGAUAAACCGGAAACAAGUAGCACCUCAGAGAGCAUUACGACAGAAACAAGCAACUCCAGCAGGCGCCCUAGUGCUGAAAUGGAUGUGACAAGAACGCGUCAAAAAAACAAGAUUCUCCGUCAUGAUUAUAAGGCACACAUGAUUGUUGGGCUUAGGGAUGGGAGAUUGACAGUCACUUGCUUUGUUGCAGAGCAUACACAUCCACUGAUGCAGCAACCAGAGCGUGUUAGAUACUACCGCUCACACCGCAAAAUACCUGCUGAAGAUUACGAACUCUUGUUGAUGUUGCAUGAUAUUAACCUGUCAAAUUCAGAUUACAUGAGUUUCCUUGGCAGGAUACAUGGAGGUGACCCCAGGAUACUGCCAUACGUGAAGAGGGAUGUUGCGAAUGAACGUGCAAAGCUUCGGGAAGCGAUAACACAACAGGACAUGGAUAUGACAGUGAAGUACUUUGAGAGGAGGAAGGCCGAGAAUCCAGAGUUUUUCUUUGCGAAGCAAAAAGAUCCUGCCAUGAACUCUGUCACUGCAUUGUUUUGGGUUGAUGGGAGGACAAGAGCGCUGUACCCAAAAUAUAAAGAUUGCGUGUUCUUUGACAAACCUUUCUGCACUAACAGAUACAACAUGCCCUUUGGUCCUAUAGUUGGUAUCAACAAUCACCUCCAAACCAUUUCGCUAGGGUGUGCUUUGUUGCCGGAUGAGACUAUUGAAACGUUCAAGUGGGUCUUUGAGCAAUGGAUGGUUGCAAUGGACAAUGAGCAUCCAAAGAACAUAAUGACUGACCAAGACCAAGCAAUGGCGACAGCUAUAGAGCAGGUGCUCCCAUAUACUUGCCAUAGGUGUUGCAAGUUUCAUGUGUUUAGCAACGCGCGUUCUAAGUUGGGGAGGCUGCUGAGCAGAAAUGAGGCGUUUGCAGAUGUGUUUUACACUUAUAUCAACAACUCUGAAACGGUUGAAGAAUUUGAGGAAACAUGGCAGCACAUGUUGGAGUGUUUCAAAGUUGCUGAAAACAAACACUUGAAGAACAUGUGGCGAACAAGGCAUAUGUGGGCUUCAGCGUAUUUCAAGAACAAUUUCUUCCCGUUCACAAGCACGACAGGCAGGUCUGAGGGGCUGAACUCAUAUUUCAAGACAAUGAUUCGUCCAGCUGAUUCUGUAUGGAGGUUUGUGCAACAGUAUGAACUAUGCGAGGAAACUGUGCUUGAUCGCGAGGACAAUGUUGGGUUCACUGGUGAAACGACUGCUCCUCCACUAUACUCUCAAUACAACAUUGAGCGCCAAGCUGCUGAUUACUACACACGCAACGUCUUUGGCAAGUUCCAGAAACAAGUGACUGCGUCUACGGGCUACAUUAUCAACCAAGACGCUGAGUACCAAGGGCGAGGCCUCACGUUCAAUCUAACAUCAAGCUUAUAUGAGAACCCAAAGCUCUUCUCUGUGCGUGUUAUGAUGGAUGAAGGGGUGUUCCAAUGUAGUUGCCACUACUUUGAGAUGAAUGGCCUGGUUUGCGCCCACAUAAUAAGGGUGAUGGUGCACCUCAAUGUGCAAGUUAUUCCACAACAAUACUUGUUGGAAAGGUGGUCUGAAGCAGCAACAACAAGCAUGGCCAGAACUGGGCGAUUGCUGGAAUUUGGGCACCCCUCGACAAACACGCUCAAAUACAACUCCUUGUGCCGAAGGUUGACAUGGCUCGCCUCUGAUGCAUGUUGCAAUGAUGAUGCAUACAAGAUAUUAGAUGAAGCAAUAAAAGUUCUUGAGCCUGCCAUUGCUGCGGCGAAAAGAGGGGUACUGCCAGAACAACAAGCAACACAGCACAGUGAACCCCCAACGCAACCUGCUCCUACAACGGGAGCGUUAAAUGAUGGCCUACCACAGCCUCAAAGCACAGAGAUGCUACGAAACCCAGCUCGUGUCCCAAAGAAAGGCUGGCCAACUGAAAGAGAGAAGAGGAAGAAGACUCUGGUGGAGCAGCUAGAUGAUAAUCAGAAGAAGAAGUCAAAACAAGAAGAGAAGAAGCCAAUGGCAGCAGUGAAGCCAAAAUCUGAAAAAAGAAGUAUUCGCUGCAAGUUCUGCAAAGAAGAAGGUCACAACGUGCAGACAUGUGGACCACUAAAAGCUACAACAGAGGCGGCGACAGCACCGCCUACAUGUCAAUUCUGCUCCGAGGUGGGGCAUACUGUAACAACUUGUGCAUACUGGAGAGCCAUGAUGACAAAUGAUCCAAGAAAUGCCCAAGCAACGCAACUCAACCUCUAG